rnacentral:rRNA from 1 species
UACAGAGGUCUCAAGCGUUGUUCGGAUUCAUUGGGCGUAAAGGGCUCGUAGGCGGUUUGUCACGUCGGGAGUGAAAACUCGGGGCUCAACCCCGAGCCUGCUUCCGAUACGGGCAGACUGGAGUACUGCAGGGGAGACUGGAAUUCCUGGUGUAGCGGUGGAAUGCGCAGAUAUCAGGAGGAACACCGGUGGCGAAGGCGGGUCUCUGGGCAGUAACUGACGCUGAGGAGCGAAAGCGUGGGGAGCGAACAGG